rnacentral:rRNA from 1 species
CAUUAAAGAGUUCUAUAACUCCCAAACCCAUGUGAACAUACCUAACGUUGCCUCGGCAGGUCGCACCUACCUUGUAGCACCCUACCCUGUAGGGCCUACCCGGGAGGUGCGGGUAAGCCUGCCGGCGGCCCACCAAACUCUGUUUGAUAUUGAAUUCUGAACCUAUAACUAAAUAAGUUAAAACUUUCAACAACGGAUCUCUUGGUUCUGGCAUCGAUGAAGAACGCAGCGAAAUGCGAUAAGUAAUGUGAAUUGCAGAAUUCAGUGAAUCAUCGAAUCUUUGAACGCAUAUUGCGCCCAUUAGUAUUCUAGUGGGCAGGACCGUUCGAGCGUCAUUUCAACCCUUAAGCCUUCGUUGCUUAGUGUUGGGAGCCUACGGCAACGUAGCUCCUCAAAGUUAGUGGCGGAGUUGGUUCACACUCUAGACGUAGUAAUUUUUUAUCUCGCCUAUUAGUUGGACUAAUCCCCUGCCGUAAAACCCCCAAUUUAUCAAGGUUGACCUCGAAUCGGUUCAGACAAACUCGCUAAAUUGAAGCAUCUUAGUCAGCGAAGGAAAAGAAACCAACAGGGAUUGCCCUAGUAACGGCGAGUGAAGCGGCAACAGCUCAAAUUUGAAAUCUGGCCCUCGGGUCCGAGUUGUAAUUUGUAGAGGAUGCUUUUGGCGCGGUGCCUUCCGAGUUCCCUGGAACGGGACGCCUUAGAGGGUGAGAGCCCCGUACGGUUGGACACCAAGCCUCUGUAAAGCUCCUUCGACGAGUCGAGUAGCUUGGGAAUGCUGCUCUAAAUG